rnacentral:lncRNA from 1 species
UGGCUCCUCUGGCCUAUUGUGGCAUUCUAUUCUGGGGAGAGCAUGCUGGACUUGCCUUCUCCUCUGUGAUAGAAAUGUGACCGCAUUUGCCUGUCUUUACGUCAAGCCAAAAGACAGAGCUUUCUGCCAAAGGCCAGCUAUAGAUGGAACUAAGUUUAGUUGUAGGAAAAAUACAGGAUUGUCCCUGUUUGCUUGUAUGAGUUUUUAGAUAUUGUUGAGCGGAAGUUUGUUUGCAGUUUCAGCAGGGUCUCAAGCAGCCCAGGCAAGCCUCAAGUUGUAAUGUAUCUGAGGAUGACCUUGAAUCUUUCAUCCUCCUGUGUCUACCUCCCACACACUGGGAUUACAGAAUAUAAAAAUGAAAUCUUCCCGAAACAAGUCAGUAAAAUUCUUUUGAGAUUGCUUGGACGCACGAUCAGUUUUUACCCCAAAAUAUGACAUCAAGGAAGAAAACGAUUUUAAAAAUCCAUUACAUUGUUCCAGCUGAAGAAGGGGUAACGCACUGUAUCAAAUAUGCAAGGUCUUAAAAAGAAGAAGGGAUUUUGAGAGCCCAUCCCAUAUGAAGGCAUGCUCUCCUGACCUGGACACAUGGGGAAGGGCCUAGGCCUGGCCCAGCAUGAUGUGGUAGACUUUGAGGAGCCC